CCUACGGGGUGCAGCAGUGGGGAAUAUUGCACAAUGGGCGCAAGCCUGAUGCAGCCAUGCCGCGUGUAUGAAGAAGGCCUUCGGGUUGUAAAGUACUUUCAGCGAGGAGGAAGGCAUUAAGGUUAAUAACCUUAGUGAUUGUCGUUACUCGCAGAAGAAGCACCGGCUAACUCCGUGCCAGCAGCCGCGGUAAUACGGAGGGUGCAAGCGUUAAUCGGAAUUACUGGGCGUAAAGCGCACGCAGGCGGUCUGUCAAGUCGGAUGUGAAAUCCCCGGGCUCAACCUGGGAACUGCAUUCGAAACUGGCAGGCUAGAGUCUUGUAGAGGGGGGUAGAAUUCCAGGUGUAGCGGUGAAAUGCGUAGAGAUCUGGAGGAAUACCGGUGGCGAAGGCGGCCCCCUGGACAAAGACUGACGCUCAGGUGCGAAAGCGUGGGGAGCAAACAGGAUUAGAUACCCUAGUAGUC
rnacentral:rRNA from 1 species